CAUAAUCUUGCAAAAUAAUUCCUGUAAGGAGGACACAGUCAUGUAGGUAAAUGUGUCUAAGAGAAGACCUGAAAACCCACUUUAUCACUGGGAUCACAGGUAUCUUUUGGAAGGGGAGAAAGAAAAAAUAAACAGAAAGCUUCUUCCAUCAGCCAAAAGAAGUUUAAAACGAUGGAAUGCACUUAACUUGGGAAUGCACUUGAGUUAACCUUAAGAAUUCAGGAAAGAACUAUGUGCAGAGUGCACACAGCCCUGAAGACACCCAGGCAAAGUGCACCGGUCCAAGAGUGGAUUCCACAUCAGCAAGCACAAAGCAGCUGAACCGAGCACUGUGACAAGCCGUGACUCACAGCCACACACCCUCACGUCCAGCCAGCUUCCCACCCUUCAUCCCCAUCACAGGGCAGGACACCCGCAGCAGCCUCAGCGUCACUGAACAACUCCAAGUCUGAACCCAUUCCUCCUUGUCCUAUCACUACAGUGCCUGACGAAGGGUCCUUCUCUGGCUUCUCUGUAGCUCCUUCAGAUACUGUACUGCAAGAGUGCACAUCACCUUACAAACACAGAGAAGAUGACACAGGCCUGCCCCAAGGAGUUUACAAUUCCACUUCGGCAAACGCUACAAAAAAAUUCAGUGGACAGGAAAAGGUGGGAGAGGUAAAAGCUCCCUCUGUGCCCACCAGGACAUGAGCUCUCCUCACAGCUGACCAGCAGCUUCUGACAUUAAGCACACACAUUCACCAGAUCAUCAGAUGAAACUGGAUUUGAAGAUAUCCCUAAUAAAGGGCAGGAUCUGGGAAUUGCA
rnacentral:lncRNA from 1 species